AUUGAACGCUGGCGGCAGGCCUAACACACGCAAGUCGAGCGGCAGCGGGAAAGUAGCUUGCUACUUUUGCCGGCGAGCGGCGGACGGGUGAGUAAUGCCUGGGAAAUUGCCCAGUCGAGGGGGAUAACAGUUGGAAACGACUGCUAAUACCGCAUACGCCCUACGGGGGAAAGCAGGGGACCUUCGGGCCUUGCGCGAUUGGAUAUGCCCAGGUGGGAUUAGCUAGUUGGUGAGGUAAUGGCUCACCAAGGCGACGAUCCCUAGCUGGUCUGAGAGGAUGAUCAGCCACACUGGAACUGAGACACGGUCCAGACUCCUACGGGAGGCAGCAGUGGGGAAUAUUGCACAAUGGGGGAAACCCUGAUGCAGCCAUGCCGCGUGUGUGAAGAAGGCCUUCGGGUUGUAAAGCACUUUCAGCGAGGAGGAAAGGUUGAUGCCUAAUACGUAUCAACUGUGACGUUACUCGCAGAAGAAGCACCGGCUAACUCCGUGCCAGCAGCCGCGGUAACAC
rnacentral:rRNA from 1 species